rnacentral:rRNA from 1 species
UUUUUGCCNNNGGNNGCCUUNANNAGNNAGGUCGAACGAUGAAGCCCAGCUUGCUGGGUGGAUUAGUGGCGAACGGGUGAGUAACACGUGAGUAACCUGCCCUUAACUCUGGGAUAAGCCUGGGAAACUGGGUCUAAUACCGGAUAGGAGCGCCUACCGCAUGGUGGGUGUUGGAAAGAUUUAUCGGUUUUGGAUGGACUCGCGGCCUAUCAGCUUGUUGGUGAGGUAAUGGCUCACCAAGGCGACGACGGGUAGCCGGCCUGAGAGGGUGACCGGCCACACUGGGACUGAGACACGGCCCAGACUCCUACGGGAGGCAGCAGUGGGGAAUAUUGCACAAUGGGCGCAAGCCUGAUGCAGCGACGCCGCGUGAGGGAUGACGGCCUUCGGGUUGUAAACCUCUUUCAGUAGGGAAGAAGCGAAAGUGACGGUACCUGCAGAAGAAGCACCGGCUAACUACGUGCCAGCAGCCNCGGUAAUACGUAGGGUGCGAGCGUUAUCCGGAAUUAUUGGGCGUAAAGNGCUCGUAGGCNGUUUGUCGCGUCUGUCGUGAAAGUCCGGGGCUUAACCCCCNGAUCUUCCGGUGGGGUACCGGGGCAAGAUUNGANGUNGCAAUUANGGCGGAAGACUGGGAAUUCCUUGGUGUANGCCGGUUGGAAUNGCUGC